ensembl:lncRNA
GGAAGAUGAAGAGCAGGGGGAAGAUUUUGAUUCCCUGUCCCCGUGAGAAUUGCUGAUGACUACUUCUGGACACAGAUAUCAUGCUGAGAACUGUUUAUCAAAAUGAUUUAACAGAAUAUUAAUUUUCAUAGAAGACAUGUCAAUGUUCCUGAGGGCAUGCAGCCCUGGAAAAGAGAGCCAGAUGGCAGAAGCAAGCAGUGUGGAAUGUUCUUACUGAGGAAGACCUUCUCAAAGCUGAUGAUGUAAUAGGUAUGAAGGAGCAUUUCAUGGGAGUCACAGUCCCAUGCACCUGUGUCAGGGCACACAGAGCUCCUAGCCUUGCAUCCUGCGUGAGAGGUGACCUGGAAUAUUCCCUGAUCCCAACAGGGUCCUGGGUUGCAUGGUUCCCCCUCAGUCAUGGUCCUCCCUGUGCCUCAUGGGGUACGCAGCUUCUACGGGCUGAAUUUAUAUCAGUGAUUAACUGGAGCUGGACCACAACCACACCACAGGCAAGCCCUGGGCACUGAGGACAUUAAGAGCAGCAGACAACAUCUCCUCCGCUGCUUCUGACUCUGUUCCACAAGCCAAGGCAGCUCCCACACAGCAGGCAUCCAGCCUAACUCCCAGCAGGGAGAGUGUGAGAUGUCUGUGGAUGAGCCCACAGGGACUACAGGAUUCUGUGGGAAGACAUCUGGUAGCUUCUGGAGCAGCUGCAGCAUCCAGGACACAUGAACUACAGUGGAGGCUUACCAGAGCAUGAAAACGAAAUGGCCACCUCCUGUAACAAGAAAGACUUCUAGAAGAGGAAGGAGACAUCAAUACAUUCACAAAACCUUCAACUCGAAAUCUCUCUUGCCAAUAAGUGUGUAGGGAUAAAGACAGAAAAGUAGCACACCUGUCUCCAGAGGCUUCACUCAGCAGCUGAAAGCCACAGCCAAUCCUCAGAUGGAGCUCGGGAAGUCUUGUGGAAGAGUGGGGGGAGAGUGACAAGGAAACUGGUUGGGUUAAAACACUACAAGAAGUCCCCUACCGUCAGAUACCUUGGACCAUGGAGUAUGCUAGAGCCUGUGC